UCUAGAACAGAGCUUAAUUAGAUCUAGUAGGCCUACAGGGCUUAAAUAGAUCUAGUACAGAGCUUAAUUUGAUCUAGUGCACAGCUUAAUUAGAUCUAGUACAGAGCUUAAUUAGAUCUAGUAGCAACAGGGCUUAAUUACAUCUAGGUUUUAAGGAGAAAGAAAACUCUGAAUUCAACUCUCUGCUACCUUACGUCUAUACCCAAACAUGGAAAGGCUUCCAGAAUCAACCCUGAGAAAAAAAAACAGGAGCCUAUGAUCCUUAGGAAGCCUGUACCACACAGAAGCAGAACCUGCGAAGCGACAGAUCCCAAACAACAUCGGCACCUGCCUUUCCUUUGGACACAAGAGCUGAGUGGAGAGGCGAGAGCUGCUGUGUUCCGACCAUGGCUAAUUCCACCAGAUUUCACUUCUAUUCGAAGAUCCAUAGUAGCUUAGCGACUGACGCAGGCCACAGAGAUAAAGAAUCAUAGUUGAAUAUCAUAAUAAAAGCCGCGGCAGCAAU